UAAGAUGGCCGAAAAGAAGCAUUAAAUUGUAAAUUUAAUAAUGAGAAGAUUCUCUCUUAUU
rnacentral:tRNA from 1 species